rnacentral:lncRNA from 1 species
CUUUUACGAUGUUUUCCCAGCAGCAUGCAGGCAGCAGUAGCUUCCUUUGAUCAUUUUUCAGUUUCUGUUAUUUGCUAGUGAGAGAAAGUUUAUACCUGCUUGUGGGGACAUGAGUGAAGAAAGAGAGGGGACUUUGAAACAAGAGAAGAGAGCAAACUCAAAAGGUUUUUCAUGGCAGCAUGUGACAAGAUGAUGCUGAAAAAUUUAUAUGGAAAUUCAAAGGAUCAAGAAUAGCUGAAACAUCACUGAAGAAGAACAAAGUGGGCUGAACUCGCUCUACUAGAUAUCAAGAUUUAUAAGCAACUACAGUAUUUAGGACAGUGUAGUAUCGGCACUGGGAGAGAAAAAAAAAAAAAAAAACUAAAAGGAAAAAGAGCCCAGAGACUGACUUUUGUGUAUGUGGACAGUUUGUUUAUGAUGAAAGUACCACUGCUAUGCACUGUGGGAAAAUGUCCUCAAAGAAUGACACUAGGGCAACUGGGUAUCCCCAUGUAAAAACAAUUAACCCUAAUCUCACAUCACACACAAAAAUCAACUCCAUUUGGGGUAUAUACUUAAAUGGAAGGUAAAACUAUUAAUAUAAAGUUUAUAGAGAAUAUUGUUUAUUGCUUUUUUGGCCCCGAUUCUUCUCUCCUCCCUGUGCCCAUGCCCUUUCCCAGGUGACUUUGCAGUUCCUCUCAUAAAAGGGGCAGAUUAUGUUUUUCCUCCCUGGACUCUAUGUUUGGCUUAAGUCCUUUGGUGGAAGUGACAGUGUGCCAUUCUGGGCCUAGGCCUCAAGGGACCUUGAACAUCUCUGCUUGCCCUCUUCCACUUAUGCCAUCCCCAUGAGAAGGAUAUGCCUGAUCCAGCCCACUGACCUUGACAGGGAGAUGAGAGACACAUGGGUAGAGUUCUCUGGUGAAGCUGCCCCAGCCAAACCCAGCCUGGAGCCAAGCCCAGCCAAGAUAAAGUGAGCCCAUCCUGGACCAGCUGACCCAGGCACCUGAAUGAGAACAAAAUAAUUUUUGUUUUCCAUCAUUGAGCUUUGGGUACAUUUGUUAGGCAGCAAUAAACUAACAUCAGAAGGUAAUAUAGGAAAAUAUCUAUAUGACUUCCAGAUAGGCAAAUGUGUUUUAAGCUAGUCACAAAAGUACCUGCUCACCAUAAAGAAAAAGAGUUUUUAUGUUAAAAUUAAGAAUCCUCAUUUAUCAGAAAAUACUGUUAAGAGAGUAAAGAGGCUUGCCAUAAAAUGGAAGAUGAUAUUUGCAACCAUUCAACAAAAAACCAGUAUCGAGAAUAUUUUAAAAAUUCCUACACAGAAUUAAGAAAAGACAGAUUAUUUUACAUUUUAUAUAAAAGUCCAUCCACCUUUUAUAUGUACCUGUUGCACAUAAAAAUGAGCAAAAAGACUUGAAAGAGUAUUUUGCAAAAGAGUAAAUCCACCUGGACAAUAAACAUACGAUAAUGUUCUGAAUCCCAGAAACCAGGGAAAUGUAGAUUAAAGUCAACAACAAAGUGGUAGCUUAGACCCCAAGAUUAAAACAGUGUCAGUGAGAAAAUACCAGUUACAGAGAUAGUCAGGAACCUUUAAGAAACAAGAUGCUGGAUGUUACAUUGAAAAAUAUGUGCUGAGCUGUGCUGCUCUGUAACUACCUGCCCUGUUGUGAAUCUGACCCACAAUGCCUGUGAGAGUGGUGUUUUCUCUGGAGGAUUCAAAGGAAAGGACAGUUGCCUUCUUCCUUGUGUUGCUACAGGGCAGAGAGAAUACUGCAGGAGGUGAGGGGCAGAACAGAGUUUAUAACCUCAACUGCAGUGUGAAAAUGCUGGUUACCUCCACCAUGUCUUACGGUGUAGCAGCCAUAUGUUUUGAGUUGGGUAGAUCCCAACCACCUUCAGGGAUAAGCCCUGAUUGCCCUAAGCCAUUCAUCAUAAUCCCAUUUCCCUGGCCUUGGAUGGCUAUAUAACCUACAUUGAUUCAAUCAGACUGAGGUUCUGGACUCUUGCUCAGUAUUAAACACAUGUAUGACCUAGAAGUGCUGCAGCCAUUUUGCUACUACGAGGAACCCAGUCUGAAGACAAAUUGUGUACAAGGGAAGGGGCAGAGCCAAGAGAAUUAUGGAAUGAAAUCCAGUUUGAUUAGAUCAUGCCUGAAAUUUUCUAAUUACUACACCUUUCAGUUAUAUGAACCAAUGAAUUUCCUUUAUUUUUCAAGCCAGUUUGAGUUGGCUUUCUGCUAGUUGCAAUAGAAGCAUCUGUAGAAAUUAGAGCAACAGGUGAUGAGGAAAGAUGUACUGAAAUUUCCGCAGGAUCUGGUGAUGAGGAGAAGCACAAGUUAUACCACCAAAUAUGGAAUGGAGGCUUAAUAGGUUUAAAAAUAAUAUUAAGGGGGAAGUUUGACUGAGGAACUCUGGCAAAUGCCACUUGACUGACACAUAUGAUAUCUAGUAGCUUAGUGAAGUUUAGGGAUGGUUCCUUGAGAGAAUCAACUAGAAAGCCUUUUAAAACUCCUUUGAAGAGAAUAUAAGCUCUUGAAAAGAUCCCAAAGAUCAAUCAUUUCAUCAAACAGCUGGGGAAACUGAGGCCCAAAGAGGUUAUGUUUUAGUUAGUACUUAAGAUGGGGCCAGGUCCUGGGUGUCCAGAUUUCUCAUGAGGGUUCUAUCAACUCAUGAAAGCUCAUCAUCUUAGAUGUGUAUAAUGAAAAACUUUCAUUUUCAUCUACUCACAUUGAAUCUCAUUGACUCUAUUUUUUCUUCCUCACCCAGCUCUAAAGAUCUUUUAGGAAUUUAGCAGAAAAUAGGUAACUGUCAGUCAAAUUUACCAUCACUUGCUGAUGUGGGGAAUUCCUGGGGUGCCCCAUGUCCAGAUCAGUUAUGUAAGCCCUGAGUGAGAUUCAUCUGUCACAGGCUCAUUGCCUCCUUAGCUCCUGGUGGUUUGAAGCUUCCCUUGGAUUUGGCAUCUUGUCCUGGGUUCUUGCUCCUACUCUCCUUGGGGUUCAGUUCUCUCUCCUGGAUUUUGAGCACAGUGGCACCAACUCCCUUAUUCCUGGUGCAGGUGGAGCCGGCUCUGGCUGUGGUCGUGGAUUCUGCCAUGAUCUCUCCAGGUCCUACCUGAGAAUUUGAUAGUCCUUGACUUUUCUCUUUUUACCCCCAACAUGGCUUUGUCAAGCCCUGGGAUUCUAUCUGAUGUCUACCACCUUUCUUGUCUUUAAACCACUCUUUCAAUCCCCACCUCAUUAUCUUUUGCCUGGACCAUUACAAUAGUUACUAAAGGCCCUAAACCAAAAGGAUCUGAAGAAAUGUGCACCUUUUCUGUGGGAAUAAUGUAAAUAAUAGAAUUUACUGAGCACUUAAUGUGCAGAGCUCUGUUCUAAUCUCAUUAUAGUUAUUAACUCUCCAAACAACCCUAUGCAUUAUUGCCAUUUUUUAAACUGUGAAACUUAAGCACAGAGGAGUUAAGUAACUUGCCCAAGAUAACAAUGACAGUGGUUGGCUUUGAAUCCCAGAGGUCUGGCUACAAUAAUGUUUGACCAAAUAUCUGGGCUCUCCAUAGCCCAGUCAGGUUGACAUAUAAAAUUAACCAUCACAGGGAGCAGAAGAAAUAUAAAACAAGUGGGAUAAAUUGAAAAUAUACAACGAGAUGAUAAAUCUAUACCCAAACAUAUCAGUAACUUCUGUUGAAACUAAUCGAGAAAAGAGAGAAUGUACAAAUAACCCAGGUCAGGAAUUAAAAAAUAUUAAUCACUGCAGAUCUGCAGACAUUCUCCUGAAUGCUCCAAGAGCCUGCAUUAUUAACCCCAUACUAAUAAUUCACCAAACAUUGGAUAAUUGUUACGUGUCAGGCACUGUGCUAGGCACUGAAAAUAUUGAGUAAAUACCUGCUCCUGGGGAGCUUAUGGGCUAAUGGAAGUGACAGUUACAAACAAAAUGUUACAUCAUUAACAAGAGCUUUAAUAGAAGAACGUAUACCAUGAUGUGGCAAUACAGAGGAGGGGCCUAGGGAGCUGUGUGAGGCUUCAGGAAGACAUCUCAUUUUAGCUAACGUGUGAGGACUGAGUUGGAAUUUGAUAGACAGUGAGGGAGUGUGUUUAAUGGGAUGCUGGAAGGGAGACUAACUCAAGGGAUGGUCUGUCUUAUCCAGGGAAUGCCAAGGAGCUGGGUGUGGCAAGAGCAUGGAGUGUGCGUUUGGAGGGGCAGGUGGCUGGGGGCAGGUGGGAAGAGGUGGGGAGUAGUGGAUAAAAUGGCAUUUGAGACCAAAUUUAAAGCAUCUUGUCUCCACAGCUGCUAAGUUGUAAAAACUUUAUUUUGUGAAGAAUAAGAUAAUGACAUGAUCAGAUUUAUGUGCUUUGUUUUGCUCUGGUUUUCGAGACAGGGUAUCUCUCUGUCGCCCAGGCUCGGGUGCUGUGGCACGAUCAUGGCUCGCUGUAGUCUCCGCCUCCCAGGCUCAAGCCAUUCUCCCACUUCAGCCUCCAGAGUAUCUGGGACUACAGGCGUGCGCCACCACACUGGGCUAAUUUUUUGCUUUUUUUUUUUUUUUUUUUGUAGAGACAGGAUUUUGCCACAUUGCCCAGGCUGAUCUCCAACUCUUGGGCUUAGGUGAUCCACCCCUCUUGGCCUCCCAAAGUGCUGGGAUUACAGGUGUGUGCCACCACAUCUGGCCUCUCAGAUUGAUGUUUCAUGAGAUAGAGUACUGGACAGAGUGGAGGACACAUUCAUCUAAUAAAUAAAUUUUAGUUGCACAAGACCCUAUGCAGAUAACUAGAUACUAUCUCAGAUCUUGAGAAGCCCACACAUGUUCUGAAAAAGAUGUCCAUCAAAACCUCAUAUUUCAAGGAGCCAAACAUUGAGUCCUAUGUGAGAAGUCCUGAAUGCUCCAAGUGCAGUGACAGUUCAGACAGGAAAGAUUCCUUUAGGCCACAGAGGGGUGGAGGAAGUGGGGCUGGCAUCAGAAGGCUGGGUCCUGAAUGAUUAUUGUGAUUUCAAUAUGGCUUGCUCCUUGACGCACGUUCUAGCACAGCUAGGUGAUAGAAAUGACCGUUGUGAGUGUGUGGAAAGGUGGUGUCCACAUCGGCCAGAGUGCCAGUGUGUAAAGCCAGGUCUUGAUUGACCAGCUGAAACGAGAUUCCCAAAGUGCAGUACCCCUAGGCUAUGUCCUAGAUGAUUUUUGGUGGUACAUGAUAGACAUCUAAAGUCUAUUAGUUAGGUGUUUAUAUUAAUAUGUACUGAAAAUACUUAACAAGAAAUGAUAAUGUUGCUUCUGACUAUACAAGAAAAUGAGGCAAUUUAAUCAAUAACUGGAAGUAAUAAUAUGGAUGGUGCACAGAUAUGACAAAAAUUGUUGAGGAAAUAUGCAAAUAACUGAACAUUUGGGGGAAUUGGGCUAAGGAGUUUAGGAAAAUUUAGGAGGGUAGGCACCAUAAGUGUUAAAGAGUGGUGCUUCUUUAGAAAGAUCAAGCUGAGAGCUGGUGUAAAAUGGAUUAAAUUUUAAAAAGUAGAGGCCUGAGCUGGAGACACCAGUAAGGAAACUGUGGUAAUGCUUCAGUGGAAAGAGUUUCCUUUAUAAGGAAUCUGUGCUACUUUUCCUUCACACGUCCCUGUACUUGCUCAAGGUCUCACUGUAAAUGCAUCAGCUUGCUUCACAUGGAAGUGACACUUGCUAUCAGAAGUGCCCACAAUCUCUUCUGCUGCUUUGCUGAAAAAUAGACAUUUCUUGAUUUUGGCAGUGGUGUUUUGACGAUUUGACACAUUAUACAUCACAGUUUCAUUUCUGGACUCCUUUCCUUGGAAUCAAUGCCACUCUUUUUGCAUCAAAAAGUUUUCAUCGGAAGGCAAUGGCAGAAGUCUUCCACAAAAAAAGGUAAAAAUAAGACUUUCAAAAACUAUCAGGCCAGUGCCUCAAAACUGCAAAGAAACCUGAGCUCUACCCCAGUGAAACUAAGCAGUGCAGAGGCAGCAAAGGCUCCUCCUCCCACCCCAAUGUCCAACUCUUGUGCAAUGUUUAACUUCAGUCCUUUUGCAAUGUCUGCUUUCUUUGAAGAAUUGUGGAUUUCUUAAGAUACUGUAACCCACAUUUGCAAUGUUCUUCCUGUGAGAAAUUAUGCAUUAAAUUAGCACAUUUUGAGCAAAUCUUGCCUAUUCGGGAAGGAGACUACAUAGCUAUUUCAACGGAUGGAUCUCUUGCAGCAGGAGAAGUGGCUCUGGUCCCUCUUGGAUGCUUUCUGCUUAAAGCCUUGGAAGCUUUCUGCUGGCAGAUCCUAUGGACUCAUUUUCUUGACAUUUUGAACAUCCAGAAUCUUGUCUAUAGAUAACACACUUAUCCCUUCCUUCAUUCUCCCAAGGAGGGGAACACUUCAGGGUCAACCUUCAUCCUUAGAUGAAUAGGUUUAGACAUACUUAUCAACGGAAUAAAUACACUCUUCAGUUUCCUCUGCCACCUCUUAACUACUUUUAGUGGCUUAUGUAUUGAAUGAUGCCUUAUCUCUCUGAAAGCUACAGAGGAGUCAGAGAGUGAGGCCUAGGGAAGGGUUGUAUGACAUGUGACCUUAUUUGAGGUGCCAUCUAGCAGCUUCUUUGUCUACUUCCCAUCUCCCAAGCCUCCAUAUGGCUUGCCUCUUGACAAGAUGGUGCCUGAAAGAGUUGCUUCCUAGGCAAAACCACAGGUAAAUCCAGUUUGUCCUUGAUGAUCCUCCCACCUUUCCUUUGGAAUCUGUAGUAGAUAUCUGGUGGAUUUUGUUUGUUUUACCAGGAUCCCUUUUCAGUUCUUUGGAAACAUCACCCCAAUUUCUUUGUGAUUUUCCUGUGGGAACACCCCUCCCCCUUGGAAGCUGUUUUAUCAAGGAACUGUCAGUUUAGGUGUGUUGUCUUCUGGCAAGAAAUGAGCAUGUGACCCAAGUGUGGCCCAUUAGAGUCUGUCUCUGUGGAACUUGAAUCUUGAGAAGAGUGACACAGGGCUUAAGAGUGCCUGGAGCACAUUUGUCCUGAGGUGGUGUGUCUCAGUCCCCACCACCUGGAUCUGCAGCAACUUUUUUCUUCCCAUCCAUCUCAAGGCCCAGUUGUUCAGCCUUUCUUUUGAUGCUACAACAUCUUCUUGAAGUAAAUUAUUUUUUUUUUUUCUAAAGUAAACCGGACUCUGUUACUGUUGCUUAUAAUCAAAGAAACUUGAAAAAUCCAUCCUCUACUCAUUUUCUUCGUCCUUUUCUAGGCUUCUUCCCAACCUAAAGCUCUUUAGUGGUGUCUUAGUCAUUUGGGCUGUUAUAAAAAAUACCAUACAGUCAGUGCCUUAUAAAAAACAGAAAUUUAUUUCUCAUGGUUCUAGAGGCUGGAAAGUCCAAAAUCCAGGUGCUGGCAGAUUUAUUGCAUAGUGAGGGCCCACCUCCUGGUUCAUUGAUGACAGUCUUUUUGCUGUGUCCAAAUGUGGAGGAAGGGGCAGAGGAGCCCUCCAGGCCUCUUUUUAAAAGGGCACUAAUCCCAUCACAACCCAGAACACUCAUGACCUAAUCAACCCCCAAAAACCUCCCUCCAAAUACCAUCACAUUGAGAUUAGGUUUCAGUAUGUGAAUUUUGAGGGACACAAACAUUCGGAUGACAGAAAGUGGCUUCACAUUUCUAUGAGAAUAAGACCCAAGUCUCAACCACAAUCUGUAAGGCCCAGCCCUAUCCGGCUGUCUGGCCCAUGGGGACCGCUCUGCCCACCCUCCCACCCUGACUUUUCCUUUGCUCCCUCUUCCACCCCACUCACCUUCUCUCAUUUCUUUGGGUGCUCCCUGCUCUCUCAUCACAGGGAUUUCACAGCCGCACCCCUCUGCCUGCAGUGCUCUUGAGUCUGCCUUCCCAUGCCCUCCACAUGCCCUUGGCAGGGUUGAUUAGGUUAGGGGCUUUCUUAAUGCACCUGGUACUUCUGCAUCAUGGCACUCACCUCAAUUUGUAAUUGGAUAUCUACAUGUUGAUUAUUUGAUUAUUGCUUAUCUCCCUCAAUAGACUAUAAGCUUCAUGAGGACAUGUUUUUGUCCAUGAUUAUAUUCUGGUGAUUGACCUAGAUGUACAUAGGAAAAGCCCAAAACAUCUUUUAAAUUUCUUUUUUUUUUUUCUUUUUAAGAUGGAGUCUCACUCUGUCACCAGGCUGGAGUGCAGUGGCACUAUCUCUGCUCACUUCAAGCUCCACCUACUGGGUUUGAGCGAUUCUCCUCCCUCAGCCUCCGGAGUAGCUGGGGCUACAGGUGCAUGCCACCAUGCUGAGCUAAGUUUUGUAUUUUUUGUAGAGACGGGGUUUCACCAUGUUGGCCAGGAUGGUCUCGAUCUCUUGACCUCGUGAUCUGCCCACCUCGGCCUCCCAAAGUGCUGGGAUUACAGGUGUGAGCCACUGUGCCCAGCUUAAAUUUCUUUAUUAUAGGUUCAGGGGUACAUAUGCAGGUUUGUUACAUGGAUAUAUUGUGUGAUAGCGAGAUUUGGGCUUCAAUUGAACUUGUCACCCAAAUAGUGAACAUAGGACCCAAUAGGUAGUUUUUAGACCCUUGCCCCCUGCCUCCCUCCUUCAUUUUUAAAGUCCUCAGUGUCUGUUGUUCUCAUCUUUGUGUCCAUGUGUACCCAAUGCCAAAAAAUUUUUGUGGAAUGAAUACGUUUUAAAAAGUGAAGUCUGACCUUGUCAGACCACCUGAGAGAUGAACCUGUGUUCCUAGCCUUCUUCUCACAAUACGAUUUCUGAGCUUCCUCUGCUCCCUUUAGGGCUCUGGUCUGCACUAGCAUUUGAUGGCUGGAAUAGUUUAACAGCACACAUAAGCAUGGUUUUUGCUAACAUGCUUUCCUACAGUUCUUCUUUCUCUGGCUUUCUAUUGUACUCCUGUCUAAUGUUGACCUCCUGCCACUUGAUUAUAUUCUCCUACUGAGGCCUAUUUUGUGAUAGAAUGGUUACAUUCUUGAAAGCAGGAACUAGCGGGAUAAAGGCUAACUCUUUUCCUGGUUCUGCCCCUUUGUAGCUGGGUGGACAUUGGCUAAUUCAUUUAACUUCACUGAAACUUAAUUUACUCAUUUUAAAAAUGGGGAUGAUAUCUGUUCCACUAAAUAUAGCUGUCCCUUGAUGUCCAUGGUGGAGCAGCUACAGGACUGCCUGCAGAUACCCCAGUCCACGGAUGCUCAAGUCCCUUAUGUAAAAUGGACACAGAAGGCACUAUCCAUGAACCAGAAAGCGGGCCCUCACCAGACAUCGAAUCUGCCAGCACCUUGAUCUCGCACUUUCCAGCCUCCAGGACUUCGAGAAAUAAAUUUCUGUUGUUUAAAAGCUAUACAGUUUACGGUAUUUUGUUGUGAGCCGGAGUGUACUGAGAGGAUACCUUUCUGAUAUUCAUCAUAAGAUUUGGUUUCUGGUAGGCACUCUCCAAAUGCUAUAUAGUGCUUUAUUG